UGAAAAGAGGACUUUGGACCACUGAGCAACAGAGUGGCUUGACACGAGGAAUGCGACAUUUGUAGCCCAUGUCUAGGAUUCGUCUGUGCGUAGUGGCUCUUGAUGCGCUGACGCCAGCCUCAGUCCACUCCUUGUGAAGCUCCCCCAAAUUCUUGAAUGGAUUUUGCCUGACAAUC